AUGAACGCUAGCUACAGGCUUAACACAUGCAAGUCGAGGGGCAGCAUGGUCUUAGCUUGCUAAGGCCGAUGGCGACCGGCGCACGGGUGAGUAACGCGUAUCCAACCUGCCUUACACUCUUGGACAGCCUUCUGAAAGGGAGAUUAAUACAAGAUGUUAUCAUGAGUAAGCAUUUUCGCAUGAUUAAAGGUUUACCGGUGUAAGAUGGGGAUGCGUUCCAUUAGAUAGUAGGCGGGGUAACGGCCCACCUAGUCUUCGAUGGAUAGGGGUUCUGAGAGGAAGGUCCCCCACAUUGGAACUGAGACACGGUCCAAACUCCUACGGGAGGCAGCAGUGAGGAAUAUUGGUCAAUGGACGAGAGUCUGAACCAGCCAAGUAGCGUGAAGGAUGAAGGUUCUAUGGAUUGUAAACUUCUUUUAUACGGGAAUAAACGGAUCCACGUGUGGAUUUUUGCAUGUACCGUAUGAAUAAGGAUCGGCUAACUCCGUGCCAGCAGCCGCGGUAAUACGUAGGGGGCAAGCGUUAUCCGGAUUUACUGGGUGUAAAGGGAGCGUAGACGGCAUGGCAAGUCUGAAGUGAAAGCCCGGGGCUCAACCCCGGGACUGCUUUGGAAACUGUAGAACUAGAGUGCAGGAGAGGUAAGUGGAAUUCCUAGUGUAGCGGUGAAAUGCGUAGAUAUUAGGAGGAACACCAGUGGCGAAGGCGGCUUACUGGACUGUAACUGACGUUGAGGCUCGAAAGCGUGGGGAGCAAACAGGAUUAGAUACCCUGGUAGUCCACACGGUAAACGAUGAAUACUCGCUGUAGGCGAUAUACAGUCUGCGGCCAAGCGAAAGCAUUAAGUAUUCCACCUGGGGAGUACGCUGGCAACGGUGAAACUCAAAGGAAUUGACGGGGGCCCGCACAAGCGGAGGAACAUGUGGUUUAAUUCGAUGAUACGCGAGGAACCUUACCCGGGCUUAAAUUGCAACCGAAUAUGGCGGAAACGCUAUAGCUAGCAAUAGCGGUUGUGAAGGUGCUGCAUGGUUGUCGUCAGCUCGUGCCGUGAGGUGUCGGCUUAAGUGCCAUAACGAGCGCAACCCUUGCCGAUAGUUACUAACAGGUCAUGCUGAGGACUCUGUCGGGACUGCCAUCGUAAGAUGUGAGGAAGGUGGGGAUGACGUCAAAUCAGCACGGCCCUUACGUCCGGGGCUACACACGUGUUACAAUGGUAGGUACAGAGGGUCGCUACCCCGUGAGGGGAUGCCAAUCUCGAAAGCCUAUCUCAGUUCGGAUUGGAGGCUGAAACCCGCCUCCAUGAAGUUGGAUUCGCUAGUAAUCGCGCAUCAGCCAUGGCGCGGUGAAUACGUUCCCGGGCCUUGUACACACCGCCCGUCAAGCCAUGGGAGCUGGGGGUGCCUGAAGUUCGUGACCGCAAGGAGCGACCUAGGGCAAAACCGGUGACUGGGGCU
rnacentral:rRNA from 1 species